rnacentral:lncRNA from 1 species
UACAGCAACCAAGGAACACGCACAAGAACAGGAUAAGACCGUGAAAUCUGAUGUCAUACUUUCACAGGAUAUAAAUUGCAAAUGAUAUUCUAAAGUAGAUUUGCCCCUGAAUCCAUUAUUGGCAUGAUGAGGACAUCCUCCCUUUCUGCUACCAUCAGACGGAUCACUACAGGCCCAACUGCUCUGCGCCAGGCUGUUUCCAAGCCAGUUCUCCAGCAUGUGAUCACCCAAGCACCAUGUGCUUUGGAACAAGACAGUCCUCAGAGACCCCCAGUUUGUGGAGAGAAGCAAGUACCAGGCAUGUGA